UACGUAGGGGGCAAGCGUUGUCCGGAAUCAUUGGGCGUAAAGCGCGUGUAGGCGGCUGGCUAAGUCCGCUCUGAAAGCCCGGGGCUCAACCCCGGGAGGCGGGUGGAUACUGGUCAGCUCGAGUCCGGAAGAGGAGUGUGGAAUUCCUGGUGUAGCGGUGAAAUGCGCAGAUAUCAGGAGGAACACCAAUGGCGAAGGCAGCACUCUGGGACGGUACUGACGCUGAGACGCGAAAGCGUGGGAGCAAACAGG
rnacentral:rRNA from 1 species